GACGUAGGGCGCGAGCGUUGUCCGGAUUUAUUGGGCGUAAAGAGCUCGUAGGCGGCUUGUUACGUCGACUGUGAAAACCCGCGGCUCAACUGCGGGCCUGCAGUCGAUACGGGCAGGCUAGAGUUCGGUAGGGGAGACUGGAAUUCCUGGUGUAGCGGUGAAAUGCGCAGAUAUCAGGAGGAACACCGGUGGCGAAGGCGGGUCUCUGGAACGCAACUGACGCUGAGACGCGAAAGCGUGGGGAGCAAACAGG
rnacentral:rRNA from 1 species